UGGGGAAUAUUGCGCAAUGGGCGAAAGCCUGACGCAGCCACGCCGCGUGAGCGAUGAAGGUCUUCGGAUCGUAAAGCUCUGUGGGGGGAGAAGAAGAAAGCCGGUGAAGAGCCGGCCCUGACGGUAUCCCCUUAGCAAGCACCGGCUAACUCCGUGCCAGCAGCCGCGGUAAUACGGAGGGUGCAAACGUUGCUCGGAAUCAUUGGGCGUAAAGCGCGCGUAGGCGGCUGAGCAAGUUGGAUGUGAAAGCCCUGGGCUCAACCUAGGAUGUGCAUUCAAAACUGCUCGGCUUGAGUCUCGGAGGGGGUCAGAGAAUUCCCGGUGUAGAGGUGAAAUUCGUAGAUAUCGGGAGGAACACCAGUGGCGAAGGCGCUGACCUGGACGAUGACUGACGCUGAGGCGCGAAAGCGUGGGGAGCAAACAGG
rnacentral:rRNA from 1 species